CACCCAACCAACGUGAGCGUCCCGCCACGUGGGGCCGCCGUCCAAUCGCUGAGCUCUCUUGAUCUAGCCUGAAGUCUGUCGCGGCGGGCGCACACGUGGCAGGAAGGCCGAAGGCCGAUUGGGAUUAGCUGCCUUCCCAGACGCCUCCCCGGGAUUCUCCCAGCACCUCCUGCUGCGUGGAGCGAUGUGGUGCUGCUUCUGGGAAGUAUUCAAGUUCCUGUGCACCCAGGGCACAUUCGGUUCGCUGAAGCUGGCCUUUGGAAACAAGGUGGGAAGAGAUUUCGGAGACUGAGGCUUGUUCUUUUAGCUGGAAGGUAAAAUUUGCUCUCCAGUUGGGAUAGUCUUAUUUCGAGGAAGACGCACACCUACCUGCAGUCUCUCAUUUUAAGCCCUUUUGCCUGAACACUACUUUCCACGUGACUCAAGACCUUAUUAUCACCACAAAAGAAAAAUUCUCAAGCAUACCAAAGCUAAAGAUCCCACAUGCCGCCAUGAAGAUCAAGAAUUCUGCGUGCCACAACAGCCAAAUAAAU
ensembl:lncRNA